rnacentral:rRNA from 1 species
GAUGAACGCUAGCUACAGGCUUAACACAUGCAAGUCGAGGGGAAACGACAUCGAAAGCUUGCUUUGAUGGGCGUCGACCGGCGCACGGGUGAGUAACGCGUAUCCAACCUGCCCACCACUUGGGGAUAACCUUGCGAAAGUAAGACUAAUACCCGAUGAUAUCUCUAGACGACAUCUGAAAGGGAUUAAAGAUUUAUCGGUGAUGGAUGGGGAUGCGUCUGAUUAGCUUGUUGGCGGGGUAACGGCCCACCAAGGCAACGAUCAGUAGGGGUUCUGAGAGGAAGGUCCCCCACAUUGGAACUGAGACACGGUCCAAACUCCUACGGGAGGCAGCAGUGAGGAAUAUUGGUCAAUGGGCGAGAGCCUGAACCAGCCAAGUAGCGUGCAGGAUGACGGCCCUACGGGUUGUAAACUGCUUUUAUAGGGGAAUAAAGUGAUCCACGUGUGGUUUUUUGCAUGUACCCUAUGAAUAAGGACCGGCUAAUUCCGUG